rnacentral:rRNA from 1 species
GACGAACGCUGGCGGCGUGCUUAACACAUGCAAGUCGAACGGAAAGGCCCUGCUUUUGUGGGGUGCUCGAGUGGCGAAAGGGUGAGUAACACGUGAGUAACCUGCCCCUGACUUUGGGAUAACUUCAGGAAACUGGGGCUAAUACCGGAUAGGAGCUCCCGCUGCAUGGUGGGGGUUGGAAAGUUUCGGCGGUUGGGGAUGGACUCGCGGCUUAUCAGCUUGUUGGUGGGGUAGUGGCUUACCAAGGCUUUGACGGGUAGCCGGCCUGAGAGGGUGACCGGCCACAUUGGGACUGAGAUACGGCCCAGACUCCUACGGGAGGCAGCAGUGGGGAAUAUUGCACAAUGGGCGGAAGCCUGAUGCAGCAACGCCGCGUGCGGGAUGACGGCCUUCGGGUUGUAAACCGCUUUCGCCUGUGACGAAGCGUGAGUGACGGUAAUGGGUAAAGAAGCACCGGCUAACUACGUG